rnacentral:misc_RNA from 1 species
AACUAAUGGAUCUUUAUUCUCCUCCACCAUUUGAACAACUCUGGAUUGCAUCUAAUUAACCAUCAACUGUUCCCCUUCUGGGUAUCAACAGUCUAGCAUAAAACUAUUGAUACCUUUUUCAAAACCCUCAAAAAUUGCAAAACCAAGCUUCAGACUUAGUCAAAUUACUGUAAAGACUGGAACUUUACAGUAACCGUUUAGAAUUGAAUGCAGAAGCUGAUUAAUUUGGAAAAAAAAAUUGUGAUGAAGAAUUAAGAAAAUACAGAGAAU